CUUAUACUCCCUCCGUCUGGAAAUACUUGUCAUCAAAAUGAAUAAAAGGGGAUGUAUCUAGAUGUAUUUUAGUUUUAGAUACAUUCUUUUUUCUCCAUUUUGAUGACAAGUAUUUUCGGACGGAGGGAGUAUUAU
rnacentral:pre_miRNA from 1 species